GCCGCGGUAAUUCCGCUCCAAUAGCGUAUAUUGACGUUGUUGCAGUUAAAAAGCUCGUAGUUGAAGUGAGGGAGUGUGUGUUCAUGAGAGCUAGUCUCGAGUGUUCACAACCUCCCCCUCCAAUCGGUGUAGUGGGGUAUUCAGUUAUUUCACUACUCCUUUGGUCGUUUACUGUGAGAAAAUUAGAGUGUUCAAAGCGGGCGUUUGUUUGAAUAGAUUAGCAUGGAAUAAUGAUUGAAGGCUUUCGUGUUCGAUUUGAUUGGUUUGUUCAUGGAAGCAAGGUUAAAAGGAACAGUUGGGGGUAUUCAUAUUCACUAGUUAGAGGUGAAAUUCUCGGAUUUAUGGAAGAUGAACAGGUGCGAAAGCAUUUACCAAGGAUGUUUUCAUUAAUCAAGAGCGAAGG
rnacentral:rRNA from 1 species